AACGCACGAGACCUGCGGACCUGCGGAGGGAUCAUUAACGUAUUUCGUUGAGCCCCGUCGGCGCAAGCUUUGUGGUCUCCCGAAGCGUGGCCAGCCGGCGGUGGCGCCCAACCUUCUCAAACCCCCCUGUGCACCUCAACGGUGGAAGGCCCCUUGGGCCGGAAGCCGCUUCACAAACCCGCAAACUCUUCAGAAUGCUCUGCGACUGUUGUCGCCUAACAAACUGAACAACUUUUAGCA
rnacentral:misc_RNA from 1 species